UCAACGUAUGCCAGGACAUGUAUCUUAUGUGCUGAAAUGUAAUCAAUUUGUGCGUUCUUCGCGGCUAAGUAUCCCUUCCUCUACCAUGUUUGAGAUGUUAACCUGAUUUAUUUGCAAGGAAUAGCAAGUUGUAAUGGUCAUCUGAGCGACCGAGUAGCUGUGUUUUAUGUUCUCAUUAGCUCCCAGUAGAUGCUGCUGGGUAAUGUUGUUGUACAAUUUUUUUGAACAUGAACAUCUGAUGCCGUCGUAACUAUCAUGGGAUGUAUAUCUUGGCUAUAUUUUACUCCCUCCGUUUCUAAAUAUUUAUCUUUUUAGAGAUUUCAAAUGGACUACCACAUAUGGAUGUAUAUAGACAUAUUUUAAGAGUGUAGAUUCACUCAUUUUGCUCCGUAUGUCACUUGUUGAAAUCUCUGGAAAGACAAAUAUUUAUGAAUCGAGUGAGUACAACUUAUUUACGGAGACUAUAUUUUACAUUUUU
rnacentral:lncRNA from 1 species